GACGAACGCUGGCGGCGUGCUUAACACAUGCAAGUCGAACGGAAAGGCCCUGCUUUUGUGGGGUGCUCGAGUGGCGAACGGGUGAGUAACACGUGAGUAACCUGCCCUUGACUUUGGGAUAACUUCAGGAAACUGGGGCUAAUACCGGAUAGGAGCUCCUGCUGCAUGGUGGGGGUUGGAAAGUUUCGGCGGUUGGGGAUGGACUCGCGGCUUAUCAGCUUGUUGGUGGGGUAGUGGCUUACCAAGGCUUUGACGGGUAGCCGGCCUGAGAGGGUGACCGGCCACAUUGGGACUGAGAUACGGCCCAGACUCCUACGGGAGGCAGCAGUGGGGAAUAGUGCACAAUGGGCGGAAGCCUGAUGCAGCAACGCCGCGUGCGGGAUGACGGCCUUCGGGGUGUAAACCGCUUUCGCCUGUGACGAAGCGUGAGUGACGGUAAUGGGUAAAGAAGCACCGGCUAACUACGUG
rnacentral:rRNA from 1 species